rnacentral:rRNA from 1 species
UACGUAGGGUGCGAGCGUUAAUCGGAAUUACUGGGCGUAAAGCGUGCGUAGGCGGCAGAGCAAGUCGAGUGUGAAAGCCCCGGGCUUAACUUGGGAAUUGCGCUCGAAACUACUUUGCUGGAGUGUGGCAGAGGAAGGUGGAAUUCCACGUGUAGCGGUGAAAUGCGUAGAGAUGUGGAGGAACACCAAUGGCGAAGGCAGCCUUCUGGGCCGACACUGACGCUCAGGCACGAAAGCGUGGGGAGCAAACAGG